UGUGUAUAUAUAUAUAUUAGCAGUAAAUUGUAAAUGUAAUUUUUUAACACGUCUAAAAAUAAAAUAAAAAUAAAUAUUUAUAUAUAAAUAAAUACAGACCUUUUAAGUUUUUGUUUAUAGCGCCUUUAAACAUCUUAAUGCAUCACUGCAUGCAAACAUUCUCCUCAGGAUCGGUGCCAGAGAGUCCAACGUUCUUCAACUCCAGUCCGUUUAAGGUUCUGUCUCCUCAACCGCCCAAAUUCCUCAAAUCUCUCUUGCCACUGAAGGAGGAGAACAAAGUCAAACGUUCUCUGGAGUCACAGCCUUUGCUGGGACAGGAGAGCAUGUGUUAGUUUGCGGACCCCGACGGCCCCUGGUCCAGACCCAGGGCUCAGAGCGAGGGUCGUGGCACCAGUGACAUCAGCAGCAGCUCAGCCAAUCACAGACAGCCCAGACUGAGCACUGAUCUCACUCACACGCAGCCGCACGCUGCUGUAAGUCAACACACGCAUGUCGCAUACUACUUAGUACUACUAGGAAGGGCUCUCUUGAAACUGUAGAUUGCCACAGAAAAUAAUUUUUAACCUGUCCAUUAUGUUGUAUAUUUCUUUUAAAUAUGAUACCUUUUUAAAUUUUUACAUUUUAUUUAAUUUUAAAUCUAAAACAUUGCAUUGCAAAUAUUUUCCUUACACCUUGAAUAUAUGUGGGUUUUCAUAUCUUAAUCAUUAUUUACAGAAAAG
ensembl:lncRNA